GUAACAAGGUCUCCGUAGGUGAACCUGCGGAGGGAUCAUUACACAAUAACCAGGCGGGCUGGACACCCCCCGCUGGGCACUGCUUCACGGCGUGCGCGGCGGGGCCGGCCCUGCUGAAUUAUUCACCCGUGUCUUUUGCGUACUUCUUGUUUCCUGGGUGGGCUCGCCCGCCCUCAGGACCAACCACAAACCUUUUGCAAUAGCAAUCAGCGUCAGUAACAACGUAAUUAAUUACAACUUUCAACAACGGAUCUCUUGGUUCUGGCAUCGAUGAAGAACGCAGCGAAAUGCGAUACGUAGUGUGAAUUGCAGAAUUCAGUGAAUCAUCGAAUCUUUGAACGCACAUUGCGCCCUUUGGUAUUCCAAAGGGCAUGCCUGUUCGAGCGUCAUUUGUACCCUCAAGCUUUGCUUGGUGUUGGGCGUCUUUUGUCUCCAGUUCGCUGGAGACUCGCCUUAAAGUCAUUGGCAGCCGGCCUACUGGUUUCGGAGCGCAGCACAAGUCGCGCUCUUCGCCAGCCAAGGUCAGCGUCCAGCAAGCCUUUUUUUCAACCUUUGACCUCGGAUCAGGUAGGGAUACCCGCUGAACUUAAGCAUAUCAAUAA
rnacentral:misc_RNA from 1 species